ensembl:lncRNA
AGGUGUCCCAGUCAAUAAUUUAUAUAGGUCAGGCAGCUUAGCGGCUCGCUGUUGCUUGUGAGCGCCGGCGUUUGCGGACUGGAACGCGUCCCGCGAACAUUCCUUCAUCCUGGGCCAAGAGGUUUAAGGCCGCUGAUAUGGAGGCGCGUUCAGAACGGCGCCGUGUUUUAUUGUCACCGUGAUUUAAGUUUUAAUCUCGCCUGGUGCUUUUCUUCUAAUUCUUUGUUGAGUGGGUUUUUAUUGUUGUCUUUAUGCUUUUAUGUACCACAGAGGGAAGUGUGCUCGUUGUAUUUAAGUAAUAUAUGUCAUUUAUAUACAUAUAUAUGCUGACCUGCAGGCUGGUCUCUCUGUGUCUCUGGUGAGUUCAGCAGGAUGUCCAGUAGGUGGCAGAGUCCUGUUUGUCCUGUUUGUCCCCCUCACUGAGGUCGAUGGUGUUAUGACAGCUAAUUGCUCUCAUUGGGACGGAGAAGGACGGACCUCCUGGUUCCGUGGCUGCUGGACUGUUCGCUGUUAAUGCGACUGCUUUUUAUUUUAUUUAAGUAGAUAUAUAUAUAUAUAUUUCUAAGCUGGAAAGGAGUUCCUGCCGCUGUGGUUGAUCUUUGAUUGAUGCAUUUUGGUGGUAAAACAAUCAUUUCACUGUAAAAUGAACCGCUCGGGGAGUUUAAAAGCAACGCGGGAAAAACAAGCACAGCUGAAAGCGUCCGAGUUGUUUGUGCAUCUUGUUGUUUUCAGCGUGUGUCUUUGUUCCGCCACUAUAAACAAUAAAGGGGCCACUUUUCUUUCUUCCCGCUGCAUAGCCGUGUUUACUUAUCUGUUGUUUAAUUAAGGGCCUCUUUUCUUUAGGCGCCCAUUGUUUCAAUAGCGCGGCCGGACUCCCGGCAGGGGUCAAAGGUUAACAGCCGUCAACCGUGUCUUUUUUUCUUCUUUUUUUCCCCUUUUCUUUCCUUUUUUUUUGAAAAGGGGCCCCCACACAAAGGCCCGGGUUCACCUGCAGCUCAGCCCGCGGCGCCCUAUUGUGUGGCCCCGUUUGAAUUGAUUAUGUUGAGGGCGCUGCCUGUGAUUGGUGGAGAAGGGCGUGGUUGAUUGGGUGGUUUUUGUAUCUUGUCAGCGCUGCAAUCUGUCUGCAUCCUGAGGAAGGUUGGAGGCUCCACAGCAGCGUCGCUCUCAGCCCGGCAGCCCGUCUCCCCCCCUCGCUCUCUCUCUCUCCCCCGUCUCUCUCUCUCUCUCUCACACAGACUCUCUCUCUCUCCCUUCGGCCGCUGUGCUUCACUCCGCUCCGCGUGGCCCAGCUCUCUGUUUACCCUGCCAGCUAAAUGGAGUUUGUCAGGUUUGUCAAUAUGAUUGAUUUUCUGUGAUUUAUUUUUAAUAUUUUUUGUUGUUGACUGCUUUAAUGCGGGAGGGUGAGGGAAAAAAAAAAAAAAAAAAAAAAGGAAGCAGAGAAAAGAGACUUGAGGAUCGUCUCUGGCCGGGGGAAGCCGAGCAAAGGAGGCUGCGUUGUCUGUGAUCGGCGUUUGCUCUGCGCGGGCAGAACGCCGCUGUCAUCAGCAGCGCGUCGCCCUGCGCUGCACUUUACUCUCACUCCCAGCAACAGUUAGUUUGUUUGCCGGUGCGUUGUGUUUGUUUAGUUGUGUUUACUCUGCCGAUAGUGAGCUAACCAGUGGAGCCGGACGCGGUUCUGUACCGGGCUGCUCGCCGCGUGAAUUAUGGAAUGUUGUGGGGAACGCAGCAGUCAGGUUUGCCUUCUCCUCGCCUCACAUGCCUCACAUGCUAUUCUUCUUAGUCAGUCUUCUUAGUACAUGUUUCCGGGGUCCAGCUUGUGCAGCAGGUAGCAGGCGUUGUGUUGUGCGGCUGAUUGUGUGUUGGGGCUGGUUGUGUUGCGUGGCUGGCUGUGUGUUGUGCGGUGAGCUGUGUGUUGCGUGGCUGGCUGUGUGUUGUGCGGUGAGCUGUGUGUUUCCUGGUCAGCGAGCUCUCAGGACUCAUCGUGUCACACUGAAUUAAGACGCACCGUCGCGACUCAGCAUCUGACACAUUUGUCACCACAAAACCACGUUGGGCCGCGCUGUCACUCCGAGUGUCAUCGACUCGCAUCUUCCUCAAAAGUUUUCAGUGUGUGAAUGUUUGUGUGUGUGUGUGUGUGUGUGUGUGUACUAACAAAGGGGGCUGUUUGGAGGGAAAGUUGUGGGCUUUUUUCCUCCCAUCUUUCUCUCUCUGUCAGGUGGCAACCGACCUGACAGCUUUGAGGCUAUUGACGUUCUGCUGCUUAAUGACCCUCGAGUGUUUUUCCUCCAAUAAGCUCAAUAAGUAAUUCACGCACGCGCUGUAGACGAGACGUUCACUUUGUCCAACGUGCUGCCAUUGUUUUGUAGUUUUGCGUGUUCGCCGUUUCGCCGCCCAAAUAAUAGUUUUUGCCUCCCUGCGUCGCUGCAGAAGAGGAAAGUGUGCGGCUGAGCCGACAGGCAGCGAUGGAGGAGCCGGCGGGGGGGGCAGCGUGCACCGUAAUGCCGUGCAGCUGUGCGGAGACGCGCGGUUUGGGAGAGCUGGAGUGCGAGCUGAUUGGGCUGACAGUUUGUAAUCAAAGUUGAUUUAUUGUUCAUUAGUAGUGCAUUAGCCCUUUCAGGCAGCGGCGUUAUUUGUGCAGUGGCCUGUCAAGGCGACGGGCUGCGAGCACCUGUCAUUUCUAAACCAUGACAUAGGCAGCCAGAUAUUAGCCGGGUACCGGAGUGGAGUGGAGGGGGGGACGGGCUGGUCUCUGCAGCGGAGACGGAGACACGGGGGGAAUAGUUUAGCGGUGAUAUCGUGAGCCAGCAGCUGCUCAGGGCUCUUACUCCCCGGCUUCCCCCACCGAAGCCUGUUUUUACUUGGAGAAGAAAAGGAAGGGUCAGGCUGUCAUUCAUUCUCGCUUUCUUUCUUCUUCUCUGCUCUUUUUAAGGGUCAUUAUUGCUCCGGGUUUGUGAGUGUGUUUCAGAUGAGAUUAACUCCACACUUGAGAUGCCGUGUGUUUGAAAGGAUCAUAACCAGAUUACACCGUGUUUUAUGGCAGAAGGUCUUCUUCACCACUUAUCUGUCACCACCUAUAUAGAUAUAUAUAUAUAUAGAUAGAUAUAUUUGUACAUAUAUAUGUGUAUAUAUAUAUAUAUUUUUUUUACAAUAAGUGCUGCGAUAAUGUUGCUGCACCUGUAAAAUUGUGUAAUUUUGUAUUUGUGUUUUGUGUGAAGUUGAUCGUUCAUUGAUGCAGUAAACCUGCCGCUUUGACUGAGGGUCUUUUCUAUAUAACUGUAUUAAUUGGCCGUAUACUUUUAUACGAGUCCCCUAACGCCACAGCAUUAGGAGGCUCGUCAUGGAAACAAGGACUCGUCUCUGCGUUGCCGUGUGAGUACAAACUGUCGGCCGUUGUCUUUGGACUACAGUUUAAUUUAAAGGGGAUUUUAGGGGGCUGUGAUCUUAAUUAAAGCGGCGUGCGCCGCUGCGUAACCCCUCUGGAUCACGAGCACGCUGUCCGCGCCGGCGGCGACGCUCGUGCGUCUCGGGGACGGUGAGCGCUGCUCUGUGGGACGAUAACGGUCACCCCACAUUUGUAAGCCAGGUUUCGUAGCUCAAAACGCCGCGUGGUCGUGAAUGAAGCACCUGGUUCCGCUUCAGGGGUCAAAAACCCGAAUGAUUAUUUUUGGAAAUGUCAGCGUCGUUUGAAGCUUUAACAGUGAUACUGUUUGGUCUUAGAAACCAGUCAAUAGUGAAAUGCUGGCGAUGCAGAGGUGCGUUGGCGGUGUGCCCUCCGCUCCCUCCCCCCAGCAGGGGGUCACCUGCGGCGCCGGCUGCCUCCCGCGAGGGAAGCGGCGUCCGCAGCUGGCAGCGCAGCCGUUUGUUUGUUUGAAGCCGACGCGGCGACCAGCGAAGGAAACCUGUUUGUUUUAUUCUGGACGGAAAAAAGUGAAUUAAAACACAUUCUCCACCGUUGUUUUUACAGUUGCUCUCACAAUCUGAGCCCCUGAUCCACGGCCCCCCCCCCCCCCCCCCCGGUGCAGCAGGGUGUUGGUGAGCGGAGGCGCGACGUGCCGGUGAUUAUCCUGUUUAUGUGAGCCGUAAACAUUUUUGAAACAGCUUGAUUGUGGUUGAUGAGGAAGCAGCGAGGAGGUCUUUACUCACGCCGCCAUCAACGCUUACGUCUACGAACUGAAGAACGCAGCACGCCGGUGGUGUUGCUGCUUCACAUUGAGUCCUGCACCAGAUUAUGUUUGCUUUUUUUUAAAUGAUUAAGGGAACGGAUUAUCUGUGUGAAUGUGCUGCUUGCAAUUCUAUUCUCAUUAUUCUCAUUAUUAUUCUAGUUAUUAUUAGAGAUUUCCAUCGACCGGUCGGCGCGCUGUGGAAACACUUUCCAGUCUCGUCCGCGACUAAUUGCGUUCACACGUCACUGCAGGACGACGGGCCGUGAAACGCUCGUCGGCGAUACGUUUCCAUGCGGUCAGUACGGGAAGUAAAAGAGCCGCAUCAAACGGACUGAUUUCUCCAGGGCCGGUUAUGCCUUUUUUUUACUUUUCCAUUUGAUGCUCCUACAAAACAAGACGACCUCAGGGAGCUGAAAUGAAAAUUUAAUAAAUGAUAUAAAUGAUAAAUCUUCUUUCUUUUUUUCUUUCUCCACGCUGAAACGUCCGUGUCGUCUCGUGUAGAAACGUCCCUCCUUUCUCUUCCCUUUUAAUUGCCUUUGCGGCGGGUAAGGGGGCUAUCGCCCGUCGUCGCUCGCCCCUACUCCUCCUCGCCGGCUUUGACCUCUGACAUGUGAUGUGGGGGGGGGGCUGCUAGGGGAGCAUCUUCAUUAGCUCUGAAUGUGUGACCGUCUAACGUGGUGCGAUGUGCGCUUUGUGUCCCUCGUCCUCUCCCCUCUUGAAGUGGACUUGCUGGUGUCCUUCAAAUGCACGUAAACUGAAACACACACAGCUGGACAGGAAAUGAUGAUAUGAAUCAUCCAGAUCUUUUUCACAAGGAAUGUUUUUGUUUAUAUAUGUAUAUAUUUUUUUUUUACAUUUUAUAUGUUUGUUUCGUGUGUUUUCAUAUUUCUGAACAUUCUCACACUGAACACACUGUU